UUUAACUGAAGAGUUUGAUCAUGGCUCAGAUUGAACGCUGGCGGCAGGCUUAACACAUGCAAGUCGAGCGG
rnacentral:rRNA from 5 species